GCAGUUGUUGCGCAGGCACUUUGGUGACUCUAGAUAACCUUGGGCCGAUCGCAUGUCCGUGUGACGGCGACAAUGCAUUCGGAUGUCUUCCCUAUCAGCUUUUGAUGGUACUUUCUGCACCUACCAUGGUGACCAGGGUUCGAUUCCGUAGAAGGAGCCUGAGAAAUGGCUACCACAUCCAAGGAAGGCAGCAGGCGCGCAAAUUACCCACUCCGGACGCGGGGAGGUAGUGAC